rnacentral:rRNA from 1 species
GAUGAACGCUAGCUACAGGCUUAACACAUGCAAGUCGAGGGGUAACGAGAGGAAAGCUUGCUUUCCUUGUCGACGACCGGCGCACGGGUGAGUAGCGCGUAUCCAACCUGCCCCCAACUAGGGAAUAACCUUGCGAAAGUAAGACUAAUACCCUAUAAUUUCCUCAGAUGACAUCUGACGAGGAAUAAAGAUUUAUCGGUUGUGGAUGGGGAUGCGUCUGAUUAGCUUGUUGGCGGGGUAAUGGCCCACCAAGGCAACGAUCAGUAGGGGUUAUGAGAGGAAGGUCCCCCACAUUGGAACUGAGACACGGUCCAAACUCCUACGGGAGGCAGCAGUGAGGAAUAUUGGUCAAUGGGCGGAAGCCUGAACCAGCCAAGUAGCGUGCAGGAUGACGGCCCUAUGGGUUGUAAACUGCUUUUAUACAGGAAUAAAGUUAGCCACGUGUGGUUAUUUGUAGGUACUGUAUGAAUAAGGACCGGCUAAUUCCGUGCCAGCAGCCGCCGUAA